CAUCGGGUCUCGGGUAAUUUAAAAUGAAUGUGUUUUUACCGAACAGACCCGAGAAGACCCGAACUACUGAGUCCUUUUCCAACCUCUCCUCUUUUUGCCAAGACCGCUUGCGACGUGUGGCUGGCAGUAAGCUCAUUUCCGUUGAAACAGAACCCACGCUGUAGUGGUUACUUUAGUGUAGAGUUAUGCAACAUUUGGGUCCAGUAGGGUUAAAAAAAUUGCCGUCGGGUCGGAUUCGGGUCAAAUUUUUUGGGUUUGUCUCGGGUUGGGUCUUUCUUUAAAAAAAAAAAUGAUGCACGUCGGAUUCGGGUAAAAAGUGAUUCGGGUUGGAUACAUUUCUUUAGACCUGAGAAGACCUCUAGUCUGUAGUUAAAGCUCAACUGAUGCAUUGCUCGGACCGAAACUGUUUAAAAAAUACAUUUAAAUGUGGAUAUCGAACAGCAAAGAUAUCAUCAAAUGACGCUGGUAAAUGAGGACUAUUACUUGAAUCGCUGUCUUUAUGUACCGCUAAAGUUCUAAACCCCAAAGCAACACCAGCAGCAGCUGUACGGCGUCAUGGCUGAUAUAGGACACCGAAACUAUGUGAGAAUAUGGCUAGAAAAUGGCUUUUUAAUUGUCGUGAUUUUAGCUUGGACACUCAAUAACAGACCGUGUUAUGAGCCAGAUUUUGUUACAUUGAGCUGUCAAGUCGCGAGCCUUAAACCUCGGCACGUUAAAGCAGGCCAAAAACAGCUUGGCAAGAUAAGAGAGGUGGAAAGCAGCUGACAGGAACAGUACAGAUAAACAGUUGGCCUGCUGACAGGUAGAAAGGAGCAGGACAUCAUUAGGAAGGGCAAGUCUAUUGGUAUAUUUGCUCAGAACACUGCAUGGUUUUGUUUUAUACCCCCAGGCUAACCUAACACUUGCAAACUAAGACUUUUUAUUUGUCCAGCCUAAAGCCUUGGAGAGAGGCGUGUAAAUUUUUGCCUACAGUACUAGCUUAGUGGUGCUGAAGGUAAAUGAGUCUUUGUCACAUACUGUUCCUUGCAUAUUCGUGUUAGAAAGCUGUAGUCAGAGCGCAGGGUCGGACAUGACACAGUACCUCGGAAAGAGAGACGGUUAAAGGUCUUGGUGAUUCUGGGGCUCGAAGCCUGGACCUUCUGAUCAGUAAACCCAGAGCCUUGAACACUGAACGAUCACCUGAACCGACACCUCUGAGCUAGUUUACAGAAGAGUACAAACUUCAAGUGCUUCAUUUGGUUGCCAUGUGGUUACACAGAAAAAAAACAGCAAUUACUUAUUGCAAUUAAAGCAAUUACUUAAUUUCUACAAAACCUUGAAUAAAAUUUUGUCUUGCCUACAGAAGCAUUAAAUAAGCUCUCCUCAUCAUGAAGCAAAGCAUUAUCAUUCAUUCAUUCAUUCAUUUUCUACCGCUUACCUGAACUACCUCGGGUCAUGGGGAGCCUGUGCCUAUCUCAGACGUCAUCGGGCAUCGAGGCAGGAUACACCCUGGACGAAGUGCCUAAGCGUUUUGGCCAAUUGACUCCAAAUAUUCUAGACCACUCUACAUUUGGUUGUUAUUGAUUUUAAAUGUAGGGCUUGUACAUCCUUGGCUUUCUUAUUAUUUUAAAUGUGGUCUAAAUAGCUUGUUAAUGGCUUGUUUGAACAUGAUGAUAAACAGUAGCAGGCCCGUAUGCCCCUUCAUGGUAAGUUAUGUUGGAUGUUUGAUAUUAAUUUGUCGUGAUCUCUAGGAGAUGGAACAGUAGGUUUAUGAAAUGCUAGGGAUGAUGAUGAUAAAUUUCAUUUUAUAUAUACAUAUAUAUAUAUAUGUGCUUAGACCACAACCUCCAAAGUUGGGAUAUGCAAAGAAAUAAUUUCACUGUGCUGUAAUGUAAAGUCUUCUAUAAAUGUCUUCUAUUCUAUCCUAAUGUCAUCAUUUGCUAAAAAACACACGAGGGAUACUUUGCUUCCAGAACGAGUGCGGACCAGAGUUUGAAUCACAGAACAGUUCACAACUCACACCACGUCCUACAGGUAGUCUCCUAUAGGGUUCAGUUCAGCAUUGCACUUCUUAGUUCACAUGAUGCUUUUGUGAUGUGUCCUAUUUUGUUUUGAAACUGUCACUGUGAAUGCUUCCUAUAUAUUCCUACAGGUUUCUCUGAAGCGCUCUCUGUCAGUCAGUAGUGCCCCUUUUCCCCCGAGGCAGUUUGAGUGCAGGUUCGGAGCCUAAUUUAGAACCAGUUCUUUCUUUUUUUUGAUAGCCAAAGCACCGGCUCUGUACCAGGAAAAGUGGUUCUUAAGUAGCACAAAACGGUGCGGGUCUAGACUCACGAACCUCUUGUUUCAGGGGCUGUGGGCGGGGCUACUGUUAGCGCAUUUGAUAAUGUACCUUAAGUAUACUAAUGUUUAAUGCACUUUUACCUCAGUAUGAUCAGUUAUAGCACACAUGAUAGUAGGUAGCUACAUGCUAAUGCUACCUGUGUUAAUGAUAAAAUAAUGUUAUGUACGUUCCCGAUUACAGCCUCCGUUUGUACAGAUGACAUGGAGCUGCACGUACACGUUCGGAUGCCGUUGUAGGUUCACAAAGCCAUGAGCAUUAACAGUAAAGCAACGAGCAAGAAAAGCUUCUAGAACAUCCAGUUCAUCGGAGGAGAAAAAAAAAAGUUCCUCCCGGCUGUGGAAACCAUAGCAACGGCACGCCGGCUUUUUCCCUCCCCAGACGCAACAAAUUGCUUAUUAGCCGUUUGCUAUCUGCAUUUGAAAGGGACUUGUCAUUAUAAGCUCCAUGUCACACAAGUUGCUGCAGAGCCAUUUAAGGUGUCCUGUCAGAGCAAAGCAAUGCUGUUGGAUUUCUGUAGCCUGCUUUAGUAGCUGUUAUACAGUAUAUAAAACGUGUCGGAAGGCCUGAUGGCUUCACCUUACUCUGAGGUUUAGGUUUAGUUCAGGAAGUCAGAUUGCUAAUGGAGUUGUAACCAGUACUCAUGCUCUGGGCCUUUUCAGGGAGAGAUCGACGUGUAAUAUGCGGCCCGAGACAAAACGUAUUCCGUCAGCGUAGAGUUGGUUAGUCUGCUGGCAGAGUGUGUGCCGUUUCUAAGAGAGUGGUUUAACCCCCGUAAUCAGGCAUUAGCCUUUCUCUCCUGUAGAAAAAAACGCUCCCGAUUAUGAAAGACUUUGCUCUUCAGCUGCUGAUGAAAAGGGAAGAGAUGGAAAAAGAAAUGCCUUAAGUUCAAUUAGACAUCCAAGCUUAGAAUAGCCUGAUGAUUCUCACUCUUGUUCCUUAUGAACAAUGAGCGCCAGUUCAUCACAUUUGUGUGUAAUCAAUCUAACGAUCCAUAGAAGAGCUCGGAGUAAUUUGCUCAUGAUCCGACUGGCCUGAUUACAAGAGCCAUUUUCGUGUCCCACCCAAACGAGGGUUUUAUUGGAAUAGUUUUCAAUAAAAAAAAGCUGACAGCUGAGACAUGUACAGUAUCUGUGAGCAUGGCAACACCCACUGAUGACUCACCUGUGGUGGAAUUGGAGUGUGAACAUGUGACCUUAUUGCAUUUCCUUGGGCUGGCAUGAAAGUUCCUGCAAGGAAAAUCCAUUAGCCAUUUAUUGGAUUUGCUGCAAAACAGGCUUAUUGAGUUUUCCCAGCAUGAGAGAGGACACUGGAUGAGUACUAACAGCUUAAAUACGGUGACGCUGCUGGAUUCGACUGGUGAUGCGUAGAGUUUUGCCUGAGACCAGUGUGUACACAUCACGCUGAUCUCCGGUUCUGGAUUCGUCCUGCUUCGUGAAGCGGCAUUGAAUGUUGUUCAGUCACUUUUCAUAGAUAAAUGCCAAGCUACCCAUGAAACUGUACCAUGUAAAAUUUAUUAAUGUUAAAAAAAAAAAAAAAAGAUGAUAAAUCUGUAUAAAAUGUGUAAAACAUACAGUAACAUUUUAGAAGAAUUUUAAAUAAAUGUAAGGCAAUUGAAAGCUAGUUAAAGCUAAAUGUUAAGUGGAAAAGUAAUAAUAAUAAUAAUAGUUAUUAAUAAUAAUAAUAAUAAUAAUAAUAAUAAUAAUCAUUAUAAUAACAAUAGUUGUUGUUGGUAUUAUUAUUAAUAUUGUUAUUAAUGUUAUCAUUAUAAAAAUAUAAAUAAUUGUGUGAAAUUAAAAACAACAACAGAAAUAAAAAAUGUGCGAUUAAGUCGAUUUCGAUUCCGCUAGCAGACUGGAACCCCAGCAUAGCUAAGUAUUUAUUUAUUUUUUUAAUGUUUGUUUGGUUUGCAAUAGUAAAUAAGAAAGUUUGUUUGUAUUCUUUCUUUCUUUCUUUCUGUUCUGUUGAAUGUACUUGUUUGUCAGACAACUAUAAAUUAAAACUAAUGCUGUAGCAGAAUCUCAAACAGCUAUGUUUAUUGACCGCGCAAAUGCUAUUGCUCUGGUAAUGCUAAGUAGGUAACGGUUUGUUAAUGCUAACGCUUCAUCUGUGCUGGUGUAAAACAUUAGGCUCUGUGCACAUUCGAAAUAGUUGUAUUAUAAAACUUUAUCAGUCUUUACCGAGACAAAGUCAGAGCUCUAAAUGCGGAUGUUUUUUUUUUUUUUUUUUUAA